AGUUGAAAAGAACUUUGAAAAGAGAGUUAAAAAGUGCGUGAAACCGUUAGAGGGGAAACGGAUGCAGUUAGCAAUGCCUCAGCGAGAUUCAGGUGGACGCCUGGUCAGACGUGUAGUGUAUGGAUCCGCAUGGACUGUCGCUGUUCGGCCUGACCUUGUGAUCAUCGCACUUCUCGUUGGGGCGCGUCAACAGCUGCUCUGUCUGAGUGACAAGGCGUCCAGGAAGGUAGGCGCGUGCUUCGGCAUGUGCUGUUAUAGCCUGUGGCGAUACUAGCUCGGACGGGGCAGAGGCGAGCGGUGCAUGCUCUUCUUCGGAGGGGCUGGCGACCUUCUCUUGAUCUUGUGUCGACCAUGGCGGACUGCUUGCAGUGCGUCUGAACUGCUCGAGGUCAUUCGGGAGGCCAACGCACACUAUGCACCUCGGUUGUUGGCGGCCAUAUGGCUUCAUCUGACCCGUCUUGAAACACGGACCAAGGAGUCUAACAUGUGCGCAAGUCUUGGGGUGACUGAAACCCGAAGGCACAAUGAAAGUAAAGGCUGCCUAGCAGCUGAGGUGAGAUCUUCGUUCUACGCGUGCGAGGCGCAUCAUCGACCGACCUAUUCUACUCUUAGAAAGGUUUGAGUAAGAGCGCAUCUGUUGGGA
rnacentral:rRNA from 1 species